ACUAGUGAAUUUUAAAAGGCCACCCGACUCCUUCAAAAAAAAAAAAAAAGAAACACACCCGACCAAACAAAAAAGAACAGAAUUUUAAAAGCCUAAAAACAUAUUCUCACCCUCUCUCUCUCUCUUUCCCCCGUAUACCAGCCGCCUAUCCCCCCUCCCCUCUCUUCUCACCAUUGCCUUCUCUUCUGUCGUCUCUCUGCCUAUUCUUAAACUUCUAUGCGCACAGAGGUGCUUCUCCUCGGUGCACAACAGAGGCACUCGGCCUCUCCUCCUCGGUGCACGGGCAGCUUCGAUGGCGUACAACAGAGGCGCUCGGCACACAAGCACACCCAGUUUCUCCUCUGUCACAAACAAUAGAUAUACUUUGGAUCUUUGGAUCUUGUCCUAGGCAGAGGUUCUUGGUGGAGACGGGGGUGCUCGAUAGAGAUGUCGUCUGUGGGGUUCAACGGUGGGGGGGUGGCCGUGGGGUUCAAAGGAGUUGGCGAGUGAUGUUGCACACUAAGUUCAUGAUGUCAAAUUUGCACAAGAACUUGUGUUUUUGAGAUCUUUUGUGAAGUUGUACUAUUUUUUUUUAUCAUACUUGUACACACUUUUCUUUUAGGGGAUACGUUCAUUAUCUUAUUACUCAUGAUAUAUGAUUAAGUAUUCUAUGUUUACACAAUUUUUUUUUAAUAUAAGUAGCUGAGUUUAAGGAUUACCUUUGUCGUA